AGCGAACGCUGGCGGCAGGCUUAACACAUGCAAGUCGAGCGGAGAUGAGGUGCUUGCACCUUAUCUUAGCGGCGGACGGGUGAGUAAUGCUUAGGAAUCUGCCUAUUAGUGGGGGACAACAUUCCGAAAGGAAUGCUAAUACCGCAUACGCCCUACGGGGGAAAGCAGGGGAUCUUCGGACCUUGCGCUAAUAGAUGAGCCUAAGUCGGAUUAGCUAGUUGGUGGGGUAAAGGCCUACCAAGGCGACGAUCUGUAGCGGGUCUGAGAGGAUGAUCCGCCACACUGGGACUGAGACACGGCCCAGACUCCUACGGGAGGCAGCAGUGGGGAAUAUUGGACAGUGGGCGGAAGCCUGAUCCAGCCAUACCGCGUGUGUGAAGAAGGCCUUUUGGUUGUAAAGCACUUUAAGCGAGGAGGAGGCUACCUGGAUUAAUACUCUAGGAUAGUGGACGUUACUCGCAGAAUAAGCACCGGCUAACUCUGUGCCAGCCGCCGCGGUAAUAC
rnacentral:rRNA from 1 species